GCGGAUUAAAACAGACAGAAAUGUGGUGCUCACCAGUCCCAACCCAGUGACCCUAAAAAUGAGUUGGGAAGUGGAUUGGAGGGACCUGAGGCAGCAUUUUUCUUCCAGGCAUUUGUAGUCUGGAUUCAUUAACUGAGGAUCUGGCUGAUUACUCAGUUCAAUUAGUUGCGCAAGAAAACCACAGGAUACAGAGUCAAGUGAACUCUCAGCAUGUCAGAGGCUCCUCUUAGACUGAACUGCAAGAUGUCCAUGCAAAUAUUAGCCAAGCCAACAACAAACUCCUACAGACUCCAUCCCUAGAAGUGUUCAAGGCCAGGCUGGACAGGACUUGGAGCAACCUGGUCUAGUGGAAGGUGUCCCUGCCCAUGACACGGGGUUGGAAGGAGAUGCCCCAUCCAACCCAAACCAUUCUGUGAUUUCAAACAUGCAACACUCUCAGGGAAUUGCAAAUACUUUGCUGGCUGUCAGUCCCACUUAGAUUUUGUCAGAAAUAAACUAUUCUCAAUCAAGAUUACUUUGUGAGUAAAGGCAGUAUAGAAAAAGACAACUGACCAACCCUCCCCAAGAAACCCCAGCACUGGAAAUGUGAUUUCCUGAGAAUACCUGGAUACAUUGCCUCAGUGUCUGCACCUCCAAAUCACUGCACUGUUCUGAGCAGCCACACUGGGAGUUCAUGAGCAAAAUCCAGUGAUUUACCUUUAACCAAUUUUAACUAGGCAACUCCUCCCACACUUGGAUGACCACAUGCCAAAGAAGGAGAAGGAAGGCAGGUCUCCACUCCUCAUUGAAAAUACAGCUGCUGGCAGGAGCAGAUACAAGCAAUAUCUGGGCUUCCACGUUAUUCAAAUGAGGUAAACGCUGAACUUGUCUCUCACUUUCACGUUCUGCUAAAGAGGGAUGUCUCCUCUGCAAAAGCAGCUCCAGACCUGCAGACUCUGCUCAGCCGUGACAUUGCUACUGUCACAAAUGCUACACUUUAUAGUUCCUGUUUCCCUUCAUCCUCACAUUGUUUUAUAUUCCACAACUUUGCUGCUUUUGGAAGACUGAAAAGCACUGCAAGAGGGAGUGAAAUGCUACAUUGAAAAAAAAAAGGCAAGUGCAAGCACAUAAGUUUGCCUGGAAAUUCAGAUUUAGGGAUACUUUCUUGCCAUUCCCAGCCUAAACACCUUGAAGCAUCAAAACCUCUGCACUGACACUCUCUUAAAUCACCAUUUUGAAAACCAAGAUGAUUUUUGAAGUUUCCAAAGACCAGAAAAG
rnacentral:lncRNA from 1 species